rnacentral:pre_miRNA from 11 species
UUGAUGGUUUCCCCAAAGCUUGGUGCUUUCAGCUUCUUUACAGUGCUGCCUUGUUGCAACCAUGUCAAGCAGCAUUGUACAGGGCUAUGAAAGAACCAAGGCCUACUCGCCUUGUUGCUU